rnacentral:tRNA from 1 species
GCAGAAAAUAGUUUAGGCGGGCAGAACACGUCUAUUGACGAGACAUCGGUUCAAUUCCGGUUGACUGCG